CCCUUAGAUGUUCUGGGCCGCACGCGCGCUACACUGAUGCAUUCAACGAGUUUCUUCCUGGUCCGAGAGGAAUGGGUAACCUUUUGAAAGUGCAUCGUGAUAGGGAUAGACUAUUGCAAUUAUUGGUCUUCAACGAGGAAUUCCUAGUAGACGUAGUUCAUCAGACUGCAUCGAUUACGUCCCUGCCCUUUGUACACACCGCCCGUCGCUCCUACCGAUUGAAUGCUCAGGUGAGCCAUUCGGACUUUCAUCAUGCUGGGUUCCAGUUUUGAUGAAGGAAAGUCUUGCGAACCUUAUCAUUUAGAGGAAGGAGAAGUCGUAACA
rnacentral:rRNA from 1 species